GACGAGCGCUGGCGGCGUGCUUAACACAUGCAAGUCGAACGAUGAAGCCCAGCUUGCUGGGUGGAUUAGUGGCGAACGGGUGAGUAACACGUGAGUAACCUGCCCUGGACUCUGGGAUAACGCCGAGAAAUCGGAGCUAAUACCGGAUAGGACCUUUCGUCGCAUGAGGUUUGGUGGAAAGUUUUUCGGUUUGGGAUGGACUCGCGGCCUAUCAGCUUGUUGGUGAGGUAAUGGCUCACCAAGGCGUCGACGGGUAGCCGGCCUGAGAGGGUGACCGGCCACACUGGGACUGAGACACGGCCCAGACUCCUACGGGAGGCAGCAGUGGGGAAUAUUGCACAAUGGGCGCAAGCCUGAUGCAGCAACGCCGCGUGCGGGAUGACGGCCUUCGGGUUGUAAACCGCUUUUAGUAGGGAAGAAGGGCUUCGGCUUGACGGUACCUGCAGAAAAAGGACCGGCUAACUACGUGCCAGCAGCCGCAGUAAGAC
rnacentral:rRNA from 1 species